UACGUAGGGUGCAAGCGUUAAUCGGAAUUACUGGGCGUAAAGCGUGCGCAGGCGGUGAUGUAAGACAGUUGUGAAAUCCCCGGGCUCAACCUGGGAACUGCAUCUGUGACUGCAUCGCUGGAGUGCGGCAGAGGGGGAUGGAAUUCCGCGUGUAGCAGUGAAAUGCGUAGAUAUGCGGAGGAACACCGGUGGCGAAGGCGGCAUCCUGGACCAAUUCUGACACUGAGGAGCGAAAGCCAGGGGAGCAAACGGG
rnacentral:rRNA from 1 species